ensembl:lncRNA
AUGGCGAGCCUAAAUUAGUUCAGGAGUAAAAAUGUGCCUCACAAUUCACAUAAUAAGUUGCAGGGUGUAAUGAACACGAGGGGAGACAGAGAGCUGGUUUCAAGUGCAGGGCGCAGCAGGUGUUUAUUGCAAUGGACCACAGGAGGAGGCAGGGAGCUGGGUCCAGGGGCAGGCAGAAGGUCAUACACAGGAGGAGGCAGGUAGCUGGGUCCAGGGGCAGGCAGAAGGUCAUACACAGGAGGAGGCAGGUAGCUGGGUCCAGGGGCAGGCAGAAGGUCAUACACAGGAGGAGGCAGGUAGCUGGGUCCAGGGGCAAGCAGAAGGCCACACACAGGGGGUCCAAAAGGGCAACAGUACAGGCAGGGAAAAGGCUAGUAACGUAGUUCGGGAGAUCAGGCA